CAGGCGCGGGCCUCCAGGCGCCGCCCGGAGCGCUCAGGGGCAGUAGGCGCCGCCGGGACGCGAGGUUGGCUUCUAACUUACCUGCGCCGGCCUCUGAGCGGGAUGGAUACCUGAGACGCCCAUAGGGCACCUUCCUCAGGGUUAGAGUCCAGUGGUGUCAUCAUAGCUCACUGCAACCUCCAACUCCUGGGCUCAGAUGAUCCUUCUGCCUCUGCCUCCUGAGUAGCUGGAACUAUAGUUGGAUGAAAGAAUGUUUCUUAGAUGCCCAGUGUGCAAUCAACAUGGAUGGAUAUGAAAGAAGCAUGUACCCUAGCUUGAUCCUCCGGGCAUCUGAAUCCUGAUAGGAAGAUGAGACAGCAUGAGACCUUGCCAAGCUGCUGUGAAACUGAAUGCUAAGCUAUGUCUUCUGUGCCCUUGGUGUUCAUGGAAAAGGAGGGCCAUGCCAGCUGCACUGGCUAAGGAUUAGAGCUAAGGAGGGAUGCAUGAAAAAGUGUGGAGCAAAGCCAUGAAGGAUAGGUAGAAUCUGGAGAAGUGGUAGGUGAAGAGAGCAUUCUGGGUUAGGGGGACAACCUGAACACCUGGAGCAGGGGUUUAGUAAAUAUUUGUUGGACAAAUGAAGGAACGAAUGCACAA